rnacentral:rRNA from 1 species
CGAAAGCCUGACGGAGCAAGACCGCGUGGGGGAUGAAGGCUCUUGGGUUGUAAACCCCUUUUCUCAGGGAAGAAGAACUGACGGUACCUGAGGAAUAAGCAUCGGCUAACUCCGUGCCAGCAGCCGCGGUAAGACGGAGGAUGCAAGCGUUAUCCGGAAUUAUUGGGCGUAAAGCGUUCGUAGGUGGCUGUUCAAGUCUGCCGUUAAAGACCGGGGCUUAACUCCGGAAAAACUGUGGAAACUGAACAGCUAGAGUAUGGUAGGGGUAAGGGGAAUUCCUGGUGUAGCGGUGAAAUGCGUAGAUAUCAGGAAGAACACCGGUGGCGAAGGCGCCUUACUGGGCCAUAACUGACACUGAGGGACGAAAGCU